rnacentral:rRNA from 1 species
GAUGAACGCUAGCGGCAGGCUUAACACAUGCAAGUCGAGGGGUAACAGGUUUUAGUUUACUAGAACGCUGACGACCGGCGCACGGGUGAGUAACGCGUAUACAAUUUACCUUUUACAGGAGAAUAGCCCAGAGAAAUUUGGAUUAAUGCUCCAUGGUAUUAUGGUGUGGCAUCACACUAUGAUUAAAGUUCCGACGGUAAGAGAUGAGUAUGCGUCCUAUUAGCUAGAUGGUAAGGUAACGGCUUACCAUGGCAACGAUAGGUAGGGGUCCUGAGAGGGAGAUCCCCCACACUGGUACUGAGACACGGACCAG